CCUACGGGAGGCAGCAGUGAGGAAUAUUGGUCAAUGGACGAGAGUCUGAACCAGCCAAGUAGCGUGAAGGAUGACUGCCCUAUGGGUUGUAAACUUCUUUUAUAUGGGAAUAAAACGUUCCACGUGUGGGAUUUUGUAUGUACCAUAUGAAUAAGGAUCGGCUAACUCCGUGCCAGCAGCCGCGGUAAUCCGGAGGAUCCGAGCGUUAUCCGGAUUUAUUGGGUUUAAAGGGAGCGUAGGUGGAUUGUUAAGUCAGUUGUGAAAGUUUGCGGCUCAACCGUAAAAUUGCAGUUGAAACUGGCAGUCUUGAGUACAGUAGAGGUGGGCGGAAUUCGUGGUGUAGCGGUGAAAUGCUUAGAUAUCACGAAGAACUCCGAUUGCGAAGGCAGUUCACUGGACUGCAACUGACACUGAGGCUCGAAAGUGUGGGUAUCAAACAGGAUUAGAUACCCUUGUAGUC
rnacentral:rRNA from 1 species